CUUGACAUGUGAAACAGUCAGCAAACAGCCCGUGCUAGGAAGACGAGGGUGGAUGGAAAUGCUAACAGUAGGCAGUGGAUGGAAGACAAACUAAACAAGAGAGAAGUAGAUGAGCCAGAGGGUAAGACGCUGGGAUCCGGUGCUCCGAGGAGUGACCAAGCCCUGCUCCUGGAGGUUAAGAGGACCCACCUGGCC
rnacentral:lncRNA from 1 species